UCCUGACCCCCUUGACUCUACUCACCCAGAAGUUUGGUCCAAUCCCAACUCCACCUGGGGACUUCACCAUGGCCGACAUGCAUAAACAUCAGUGGAAGAGAGUUCAAGCCCUUGCUGACACAUUCUGGGCCAGAUGGCAGAAAGAAUACCUCAACAUGCUCCAGAGUCGUCAGAAAUGGCAGCGCAACAGACCAAACUUGAAGGAAGGGGAUGUGAUCCUUCUAAAAGACAAGCAACUAAAAAGAAAUGAAUGGCCUAUGGGAGUCAUUGUGAAGACCCUUCCAAGCAGAGAUGGAGUUGUGAGGAAAGUGGAAGUGAAGGUUACGCAUGACAAGACUACCAAGAUCUUCUAUAGACCUAUUUCGGAUUGUAUCCUUCUUUUGUCUCUAAGAGAUUAGUUCAAUGUUUAAAUAGAUUAUAGUGGCAUUCUUACAAUAAUGCCAGGUGGGGAGUGUGUUGGAACUGUUGUUGUUGCCUCUCCGAGCCUGUGGGGGGCACAGGUUUUCACAAUGCGCUAUGUUGGGCUGAUUUGUAAAUAGAAGAAGUGAACGGAAGUAGUUUUCUCAGGAGGUAGAGAAAGCAUGGUGCAUCUCUGACAAUCCAAAGCCAUCCGCUCCUUCAUAUCCCUUUGAGUGGCAAUAUGAUUUCACACUUUUUUACAUUAAAUCCUGUCCAACUACAACACGCGCCUGUUCCUUGGAGGAAGUGAUGUAAGAGAGAGUUUAGCUGGCUGUGAAUCUCAAUAUAGGACACGGGGUCACAUUGAGUGCAACAUACAAAUAUAGUACAAUAACAGACUCGUUUGUGCAACCAACCUCCUCCCCAUCUCCACCUCAUCCAAAUAACUCAGUGUGCCAUCCAAACUUCCAUCUUUAUCUUCACCACCACCAAAGUCUUGACUCCAGGGGUUCUGCCCUAAUAUUUAUCAUUGCUGGGAUUCCCUCCUAUUUUGGGCCAUCCAUCCAUUCAUCCAUCCAUCCAUCCAUCCAUCCAUCCAUCCAUCCAUUCAUUCGUUCAUUUUCUUCCACUUAUCUGGGGCCGGGUCGUGGGGGCAGCAGCCUAAGCCGAGAAGCCCAGACUUCCCUCUCACCAGCCAGCUCCAGCAGUUCAUCCAGAGGGACCCCAAGGUGUUUCCAGGCCAACCAACAGAUAUAAUCUCUCCAGCGUGUCCUGGAUCUGCCCCGGGGCUUCCUCCCGGUAGGACAUGCUCAAACACCUCACCCAAGAGGUGCCCAGGAGGCAUCCUAGUCAGAUGCUCAAGCCACCUCAACUGCCUCCUUUUGAUGUGGAGCCAAGUAGAGUCUAACUGCCAAAGAGAUUAACUGAAUUCUGUAUAUCAAUAAAUAAUCAACUUUUCUAAAUGAUCUCUCUUUAUUUAAAUGCAAUAAGAGCUGAUCAAUGAAGUUGGUAACUGUUUCA